UGGGGAAUAUUGCGCAAUGGGCGAAAGCCUGACGCAGCGACGCCGCGUGUGGGAGGAAGCCCUUCGGGGUGUAAACCACUGUCAGGGGGGAAGAAUCCCGGGUGUGGAAAUACUGCAUUCGGUUGACGGUACCCCCAGAGGAAGCGCCGGCUAACUCCGUGCCAGCAGCCGCGGUAAGACGGAGGGCGCAAGCGUUGUUCGGAAUUACUGGGCGUAAAGCGCACGCAGGCGGCCUUUUAAGUCCUUUGUGAAAGCCCGAGGCUCAACUUCGGAAUUGCAGAGGAUACUGGAAGGCUGGAGAUCGGUAGAGGCUAGCGGAAUUUCUGGUGUAGCGGUGGAAUGCGUAGAUAUCAGAAAGAACACCUGUGGCGAAGGCGGCUAGCUGGGCCGAUUCUGACGCUCAUGUGCGAAAGCGUGGGGAGCAAACAGGAUUAGAUACCCCCGUAGUCC
rnacentral:rRNA from 1 species